GCUCCCCUCCGGUCUCCCUCCAGGAAAGCGGCAGCUCUCCACGUGGGACAGAGCUCUCGUGUUCUGCUGGGUGCCCGGCCGCAUGUCUGCCAAGUCUCCAUCUUACGGCGUUGGGCUGGAGUUGUGAGAAACGGCUGUGCAGCUUGCAAGAGUUUUGUGAGCUGGCUGAUGCCAUGUGGGUAGUCAUGAUGGUGGUUUGUUCAGCCACGACGGGAUAGCGACACCACAGGAAUGAGCAUGCGCCACAGAGUUAGGCUUUUUACCCUGUUGCUCCUGCCCCCUCCCCCUUCCAUUAGAAUGAACGCUCCUCGGGGCAGGGGUCUGCCCACCUUGAUUUCUGCUGUCACCCUGGCACCUAGAACAAUGCUUGGCAUCUAGGAAGCAUUCAAUAAAUACUGGUUGAAUUGCGUGACCCUCA